rnacentral:lncRNA from 1 species
GCAUUGUCAAGGAUUCUGAAGACAUUUACAAUUUAAAGAACCCCACUUUGUUCAUUUUUGCUGAAAAUGAUGUUGUGAUUCCACUCAAGGACCCCUGCAGCUGGUUGUGAAAGAAAAUAGACGCUCAGGACCCGAAAGUCACUAUGCCAGAGGGAAAGUUCAGCUUGGGAACUGCGCAAUACUGCCUUCCUUUCCUUCCCAAACAGACAGCUGCAAUGUCACAACCCUGUGUUAGAGCCUCGUCCGUAAGCCAGGAUCCCACAACCAUGGAAGGCCACACAUCUCCCCAGAUGGCCUCCCUCCCAAAGCGCUCACACAGAAAUUCCUUGUGAGCAGCUAGAUCUUUCAGGCUAUAUCCACCCCCUAUAAACUAGCCCUGAAACAAGUUUUUUGGAUCUCACCCUGACGAUGUCAAUUACCAGGUGAUCCUCACAGAGAGGAC